AUUGAACGCUGGCGGCAGGCCUAACACAUGCAAGUCGAACGAGUGGCGGAAGGGUGAGUAAUGUCUGGGAAACUGCACGAUGGAGGGGGAUAAAUUCUGGAAACGGUAGCAAAUACCGCAUACCAUCGGAUGUGCCCAGAUGGGAUUAGCUAUUCGGUGGGGUAAAGGCUCACCUAGGAGACGAGCCCUAGCUGGUCUGAGAGGAUGACCAGCCACACUGGACCUGAGCCACGGUCCAGAAUCCUACGGGCGGCAGCAGUGGGUAAUAUUGCACAAUGGGCGCAAGCCUGAUGCAGCCAUGCCGCGUGUAUGAAGAAGGCCUUCGGGUUGUAAAGUACUUUCAGCGAGGAGGCGUUACUCGCAGAAGAAGCACCGGCUAACCCCGUGCCAGCAGCCGCGGUAAUAC
rnacentral:rRNA from 1 species